CGCGUAGGCGGGCGAUCAAGUCAGGGGUGAAAGCCUCCAGCUCAACUGGAGAAGUGCCUUUGAUACUGGUCGUCUCGAGGGAGAUAGGGGCGUGCGGAACUUCCGGUGGAGCGGUGAAAUGCGUAGAUAUCGGAAGGAACACCGGUGGCGAAAGCGGCGCGCUGGAUCUCUUCUGACGCUGAGGCGCGAAAGCCAGGGGAGCAACG
rnacentral:rRNA from 1 species